CUCUUCAAUGGCACUGACGAGCUCUGCUGCGCUGGGUGUUUCGGAGCUAGUGGGACGGACCAACAGCCGUGAUGAUGUCUGUGGAAAAAUCUCUGCAUUCCUGAAGAGGAGGACUUGGAGAGCGUGCCACUGCUGAGCCCCUCGUUGCGACCUCUCUGCAAGAAAAUAGGAAAAGCCUUUAUGACCUCCUGGGCCACUGUUGUCAUCAUCAGUUAAUCUCUGAUGAAUGCCUAAAGGCCACAUAGGAAGAGUAAAGCAGAAAUCCAGAAGAAAGAUAGUUACUUGACAUUAGCAGUAACUUUUUGUCCUCUUCCUUCAAUUCAUACAUUUUGUGUCUUGUUUACCAUCUUAGAAGAGGGAAGAAGUCAUCAAGUGGGCUCUAGUUCUUUCUCUUUUUAAUGUACAUCUUGUUUGAUUAUAUCAGUCAAAUCCUGUCCCAUAACCUCUAUUAUUCUGCUCCUGGUUACUAAUAAUAUAUUUCCAUAAAAGAUCUAUUAAGCAAAACUACCGAAUAAAGCAAUUGCAACUUAAAAGAU